rnacentral:tRNA from 10 species
CGGGGCGUAGCGCAGUCUGGUAGCGCACCACACUGGGGGUGUGGUGGUCACAGGUUCAAAUCCUGUCGUCCCGACCA